GUAGUACUCCCUCCGUCCGAAAAUACUUGUCAUCAAAAUGGACAAAAGGGAUGUAUCUAGAACUAAAAUACAUCUAGAUACAUCCCCUUUUAUUCAUUUUGAUGACAAGUAUUUCCGGACGGAGUAUCAA
rfam:Triticum aestivum genome assembly, contig: Triticum_aestivum_CS42_TGACv1_scaffold_288681_4AL